rnacentral:rRNA from 1 species
UGGGGAAUUUUGGACAAUGGGCGAAAGCCUGAUCCAGCAAUGCCGCGUGUGUGAAGAAGGCCUUCGGGUUGUAAAGCACUUUUGUCCGGAAAGAAAUCCUUGGCUCUAAUACAGUCGGGGGAUGACGGUACCCGGAAGAAUAAGCACCGGCUAACUACGUGCCAGCAGCCGCGGUAAUACGUAGGGUGCAAGCGUUAAUCGGAAUUACUGGGCGUAAAGCGUGCGCAGGGCGGUUUGCUAAGACCGAUGUGAAAUCCCCGGGCUCAACCUGGGAACUGCAUUGGUGACUGGCAGGCUAGACGUAUGGCAGAGGGGGUAGAAUUCCACGUGUGAGCAGUGAAAUGCGUAGAGAUGUGGAGGAAUACCGAUGGCGAAGGCAGCCCCCUGGGCCAAGUACUGACGCUCAUGCACGAAAGCGU